rfam:Salmo salar isolate Sally breed double haploid chromosome ssa07, whole genome shotgun sequence.
CCCUGUGUAGCUCAGUUGGUAUAGCAUGGCGCUUGCAAUGCCAGGGUUUUAGGGUUCGUUUACCACAGGGA